ensembl:lncRNA
GUCAACGGGAUAAAGGGUAGCAACAAUAAUUUAAGGGUAAAAAUAAUCCUACAAUGGCAAAGAGGACAUGUGCAGGUUUGUUGACACUGUCCCUCAUCUUCUGGCAGGCAGCAAUGUAGUGCUCUGCCAACCCACAGCUCUCUGUGUCCUCCCCCAACAGGACAGGUAGCCUAUCCUCAUCAGAGAGGUCUUCAAUGUAGUGCACUGCCAACCCACAGCUCUCUGUGUCCUCAUCAGAGAGGUCUUCAAUGUAGUGCGCUGCCAACCCACAGCUCUCUGUGUCCUCCCCCAACAGGACAGGUAGCCUAUCCUCAUCAGAGAGGUCUUCAAUGUAGUGCACUGCCAACCCACAGCUCUCUGUGUCCUCCCCCAACAGGACGGGUAGCCUAUCCUCAUCAGAGAGGUCUUCAAUGUAGUGCGCUGCCAACCCACAGCUUUCUGUGUCCUCCCCCAACAGGACAGGUAGCCUGUCCUCAUCAGAGAGGUCUUCAAUGUAGUGCUCUGCCAACCCACAGCUCUCUGUGUCCUCCCCCAACAGGAC